UACGUAGGGGCGAGCGUUGUCCGGAAUUACUGGGCGUAAAGGGCGCGCAGGCUGUGCUGCAAGUCAGCUGUGAAAUGUCUGGGCUUAACCCGGGCAUGCGGUUGAGACUGCAGUGCUGGAGUGCUGUAGAGGCAAGUGGAAUUCCCAGUGUAGCGGUGAAAUGCGUAGAUAUUGGGAAGAACACCGGUGGCGAAGGCGACUUGCUGGGCAGCAAACUGACGCUGAGGCGCGAAAGCGUGGGGAGCAAACA
rnacentral:rRNA from 1 species